AAAUAAUAAAUCCAAGUAGUAAAUAAUAUUCAAAACACUCACUGCGCAGUUUUGCAUGAUUUAUUACAAAACAUAAAAGAAACUUUUUAUUAUAUUGAUAUGAUGAAACUACAAUAAAUAGCAUUUUUUCAAGAACAUUUUAAGAUGUCCCUAUUGCUCGUAAAUGUUAUUCUUGGAUAUGUAUUUAUAUAUUCUGUUGAAAGUGCGCCUCAGCAACCAGAAAUAAACGAUCAAUACGAAACUACAGAACUCAAUAAUGUAACAGAAGAUACACAAGUAGACGCAACUCGACGCAAUGCGGUAUCAAUUACUUUCAGUGCAAAACUUUACCAUUUUCUUAGCACGCCGAUUGUCAAAUUCAUCUCAGCUCCGAAAGUCAAUGCUGUAUUACGAAAUAUCGGAACUUGCAUUGUAAACGGAGCGAUGGAGAUCGUCUCAUACUAUUUUCCAGCUCCCUUUAUACCUUUAAUAGCGUCUGCUGCCGGAAUGGUUAUUCCUUUUGAACCUGUUGUUUUGUUGAAGGAGAAAAUGCCUGUAACUAGUUAUAGGAGAGCGUUCAAAACAGCUGUGGAUUCGUUUUUAGGUACUUUUGAUAAAUAUAAAAGUGAUGAUGAUCCUUAUAUGACGAGACGGUUUAAUAGAAGGUUUAAUUAUGAUUCCAAAGAGAAGGAGAAAGAUUGAUUUUAAUAAAAUGUUUUAUUUUUUGA